rnacentral:rRNA from 1 species
GUGUCAGCCGCCGCGGUAAUACCGGCAGCCCGAGUGAUGGCCGAUUUUAUUGGGCCUAAAGCGUCCGUAGCUGGCUGCGCAAGUCCAUCGGAAAAUCCACCCGCUCAACGGGUGGGCGUCCGGUGGAAACUGCGUGGCUUGGGACCGGAAGGCGCGACGGGUACGUCCGGGGUAGGAGUGAAAUCCCGUAAUCCUGGACGGACCGCCGAUGGCGAAAGCACGUCGCGAGGACGGAUCCGACAGUGAGGGACGAAAGCCAGGGUCUCGAACCGGAUUAGAAACCCCCGUAGUCC